rnacentral:rRNA from 1 species
UACAGAGGGUGCAAGCGUUGUUCGGAAUUAUUGGGCGUAAAGCGCGUGUAGGCGGCUUUGCAAGUCGGGUGUGAAAGCCCUCAGCUUAACUGAGGAAGUGCGCCCGAAACUGCAGAGCUUGAAUACCGGAGAGGAUGGCGGAAUUCCCCAAGUAGAGGUGAAAUUCGUAGAUAUGGGGAGGAACACCGGUGGCGAAGGCGGCCAUCUGGACGGCUAUUGACGCUGAGACGCGAAAGCCAGGGGAGCGAACGGG